rnacentral:tRNA from 1 species
GAAGCGAUAGCUCAGAGGCAGAGCGGUGGCGCAAGCCACAGGACACGGGUUCGAUUCCCGUUCGUUUCGCAA